rnacentral:rRNA from 1 species
AACGCUGGCGGCGUGCCUAAUACAUGCAAGUCGAGCGGACAGAUGGGAGCUUGCUCCCUGAUGUUAGCGGCGGACGGGUGAGUAACACGUGGGUAACCUGCCUGUAAGACUGGGAUAACUCCGGGAAACCGGGGCUAAUACCGGAUGCUUGUUUGAACCGCAUGGUUCAAACAUAAAAGGUGGCUUCGGCUACCACUUACAGAUGGACCCGCGGCGCAUUAGCUAGUUGGUGAGGUAAUGGCUCACCAAGGCAACGAUGCGUAGCCGACCUGAGAGGGUGAUCGGCCACACUGGGACUGAGACACGGCCCAGACUCCUACGGGAGGCAGCAGUAGGGAAUCUUCCGCAAUGGACGAAAGUCUGACGGAGCAACGCCGCGUGAGUGAUGAAGGUUUUCGGAUCGUAAAGCUCUGUUGUUAGGGAAGAACAAGUACCGUUCGAAUAGGGCGGUACCUUGACGGUACCUAACCAGAAAGCCACGGCUAACUACGUGCCAGCAGCCGCGGUAAUACGUAGGUGGCAAGCGUUGUCCGGAAUUAUUGGGCGUAAAGGGCUCGCAGGCGGUUCCUUAAGUCUGAUGUGAAAGCCCCCGGCUCAACCGGGGAGGGUCAUUGGAAACUGGGGU